UAAAGAUGUUUUAAAGGCUAUUUUCAAGUUAGGGAUGUCUUUAAACAGUCUAGCCAGUCUGGGUGUUAUGCCUUUCACGUAUUUUCACGAUCUAUAUUUUCAAAGGUUAAGGACAAGAGUGACAUUAGGGAUUGUUCUAACGUUGUCUACCAGAUUCCCUGUAACAACUGUAAUUUGGUAUAUGUUGGACAAACCGCACGCAAUUUAGGUAGUCGUUUAGUUAGUCACCGCAGUGAUAGCAGAUUAUAUCCUGAAAGAUCUGCUCUUGCCGAACAUGUUAAUAAAGAACAUCACAAAAUGAAUUACGAAUCGGUCAGAGUUUUAGCUUCUGAAUCCAACUAUACUAAAAGACUGUUCUUAGAGAUGGCUUUCAUUUCGCAGAAUUCUAAUGCAAUGAACAAAAGGAGUGACAUAAAUCAAUUAAGCUCUAUUUACUCAUAUCUAUUAUGUUUGGACAACUAUCCUCAUUUCAAUGAUGUCUUUUCAACUGAUUCAUUGUAAAGUUUCCAGCUUUCAGUACAUUGAAAUGUAAAUUAUUUAUAAUUUUGGUUUUUAACUUCAAACAAAACUCUGGUAAAUUUUUGAUGUGUAUUCUUAAAGUAUUAGUACUACAUAAGACAAAGAAAAAAGAAGAAGUGGUGUCAUUUGCGUAUGUCCAGGAAUGACAUUGACUUCUAACCUCACAUUUCACACUUGCCGGCACACGUGGCAUGUAAACCUUUUUAAUUGUCUUUUUCUUAUGUGUUAGUGUAGAAAAUAAUUUGUCAAUUUGGUCUUUUACACCAUGUAUUUUUUAAUAUUUGACUCAAUCAAUGAGUGGUGCGUGAAUUUGUCACCUGUGAGUAUAACAUCCACGGAAAGCAAAUCUCAAUAACUUAUUCCUGAUGAUGAAAAUAAACAUUUUCGAAAGCUUGAAACUUAGUUAAAAGAGUACACUUAUUUCACCGCUGCAUAUCCCAAUAACCUCAGAAUUCCGUUUUCUACGUUGUCAGCAAAGACUUCUUUUCCUUUUCUUUUUAAGGCAUGGGAUUUUAUCAGAACAUCGCAUAUCGCUAUGGUGACCUCGCUGUACGGGCACUCAAGGAUUGGUCAAAGACUAAACAAAAAUUGGCAAGAGAAUACAAUAAAAGAUGUUUUUUAUUAAGAUGUAGAUCAUCAAACAUUUCACCUACACACAUCAUACACUCCACUUCAUCCAUCACUAAAUUAUUACAAAGACAGGACAUCCAGUCGAACAAGGAUGCUUUACAAUUUACCAGGUUAGAAAACAGAAUUUUGAAUUUAGAAAUUUCUAAUUGCAUUAAAGUCAUUAACAAUUUAGAGUCUAAUUUAUCUAAACUCAAAAGAGACAUCAUUGACUUUACUUCUGAAUUCAUUUUUAACAACUUUUCUAGUAAACAACAAGUUUUAUAUAACAAAACUUUUCAUAAAACCAAAUUAGUAAAUACUAACAAAUAUAAUAGAUUAUUUAAUCAAGAACUGAACUUGAAACUAAAGACAAAACCGGGUUGGAUUAAGAACCUCUCCAAUGUAACCUUGCCCGAUGAUAUUUCUAGAUUUUUGUCUUUGGGUCCAAAGUUCAGUAUAGAACCUAUUGUAGGGAAAGAUAUCCCUAUCAGGGAUAUGUUGGCUGACGUUGAAACAAUUAUGCACUCUGUCACGGAUGCACAACUGAGGGACGUGCUAGUAGCUAAAUCUACGUACAUCAUUACUGAUUAUGUACAUAAAAAUAACAGUAAGAGUAGCUUUAACUUCUACAGAGCUAUGUUACAUAAAACUCGUAAGUUUCUUAGUGAAAACACUAACAUUAUUGUCAUGCCUUCUGACAAAUGUAAUGUAACUGUAGUUCUGGAGAAGCAGAGAUACUUAGAUCUAUGUCUCCAAUUGCUAAAUUCUGAUAACAUAUAUGAGAGAUUGAACAGAGAUCCAACUAAUACUGUUCAAACUAAAUGCAAUAACCUCAUCAAGGAAUUAUGCAGUUCGGGACAAAUAGAUGAUGAUACAAAGAAAAAAUUAACAGGGUAUAAGGGUGUCAUACCCAAGUUUUACGCUUUACCUAAGAUUCAUAAACCACAGCUUUCGGUACGUCCCAUUGUUGCAUGCAUUGGUUCACCUACUAAUUUAUUAGCAUCUUUUUUGACUGAGAUUUUGACCAAUGCAUAUGUCUCUAAUGAAUAUGACGUAAAAAGUUCUUUUGAUGUCUUUAACAGCUUUAACAACUAUCAGUUACCUGAGGGCUAUGUUAUUAUCAGUCUGGAUGUAGUCUCUUUGUUCACUAAUGUACAUCUAGAUGCAGCCUUAAUAGCUGUUGAAAACAAUUGGAAUUUUAUUAGUUCUCAUUGCAAUAUUAGCUUGGAAUCUUUCAAAAAACUCAUCUCCUUUCUUUUUAACAACACCUAUUUCACAUUUAAUAAUACUGUGUUUAGACAAACACAAGGGACUCCUAUGGGAGGUACUAUCUCUCCCAUUCUGGCCUGUUAUGUGAUGGAUCAUUUACUGGAUAUGGUGAUCCCAGAAUUGUCCUUCUAUAUUCCUUUUGUUAAAAAGUAUGUGGAUGACUUAAUCCUCGCUAUUCCUAGCAAUAGAUCAGCUGAAAUUUUGCAAGUAUUCAAUAGUUAUGACCCUCUAUUACAGUUCACAAUUGAACAUGAGGAUGAUCUAUGCUCAGUCCCCUUUCUUGAUACCCGGUUCAUUAGAACCCAUAACAACUCCCUGAGAAUUGACUGGCAUAGAAAACCUCAUAGUUCUGGACGUUUUCUUAACUAUUGGUCAUAUCAUCGACACUCAAUAAAAAUCAACUUGAUUAAGCAAAUGAAGGCUAGAAUCAUAGCUAUCAGUGAUCCUUCUUGCCAUCAGAAGAACCUGAGAAUCCUGUCUAACCUUUUUAUCGACAACUCUUAUCCAAAACACCUAGUCACCAAGAUAUUAUUCAGUUUGACCCCUGACAUAAUACGCCACAAUGAUGAGUUGCAAAUUACUGUUACAAGCGGAGAACAAAAUGCCAAUUGUUUAUAUACUUCUUUAAAAUACGUGAAAGGCAUAACACCCAGACUGGCUAGACUGUUUAAAGACAUCCCUAACUUGAAAAUAGCCUUUAAAACAUCUUUAACUUCACGAUCUAUAUUUUCAAAGGUUAAGGACAAGAGUGACAUUAGGGAUUGUUCUAACGUUGUCUACCAGAUUCCCUGUAACAACUGUAAUUUGGUAUAUGUUGGACAAACCGCACGCAAUUUAGGUAGUCGUUUAGUUAGUCACCGCAGUGAUAGCAGAUUAUAUCCUGAAAGAUCUGCUCUUGCCGAACAUGUUAAUAAAGAACAUCACAAAAUGAAUUACGAAUCGGUCAGAGUUUUAGCUUCUGAAUCCAACUAUACUAAAAGACUGUUCUUAGAGAUGGCUUUCAUUUCGCAGAAUUCUAAUGCAAUGAACAAAAGGAGUGACAUAAAUCAAUUAAGCUCUAUUUACUCAUAUCUAUUAUGUUUGGACAACUAUCCUCAUUUCAAUGAUGUCUUUUCAACUGAUUCAUUGUAAAGUUUCCAGCUUUCAGUACAUUGAAAUGUAAAUUAUUUAUAAUUUUGGUUUUUAACUUCAAACAAAACUCUGGUAAAUUUUUGAUGUGUAUUCUUAAAGUAUUAGUACUACAUAAGACAAAGAAAAAAGAAGAAGUGGUGUCAUUUGCGUAUGUCCAGGAAUGACAUUGACUUCUAACCUCACAUUUCACACUUGCCGGCACACGUGGCAUGUAAACCUUUUUAAUUGUCUUUUUCUUAUGUGUUAGUGUAGAAAAUAAUUUGUCAAUUUGGUCUUUUACACCAUGUAUUUUUUAAUAUUUGACUCAAUCAAUGAGUGGUGCGUGAAUUUGUCACCUGUGAGUAUAACAUCCACGGAAAGCAAAUCUCAAUAACUUAUUCCUGAUGAUGAAAAUAAACAUUUUCGAAAGCUUGAAACUUAGUUAAAAGAGUACACUUAUUUCACCGCUGCAUAUCCCAAUAACCUCAGAAUUCCGUUUUCUACGUUGUCAGCAAAGACUUCUUUUCCUUUUCUUU
rnacentral:misc_RNA from 1 species